rnacentral:rRNA from 1 species
CCUACGGGCGGCUGCAGUGAGGAAUAUUGGUCAAUGGGCGCGAGCCUGAACCAGCCAAGUAGCGUGAAGGAUGACUGCCCUACGGGUUGUAAACUUCUUUUAUAAAGGAAUAAAGUGAGGCACGUGUGCCGUUUUGUAGGUACCUUAUGAAUAAGGAUCGGCUAAUUCCGUGCCAGCAGCCGCGGUAAUACGGAGGGUGCAAGCGUUACCCGGAAUUAUUGGGGGUAAAGGGAGCGUAGGCGGGAUAGCAAGUGUGAUGUGAAAUCCUAUGGCUUAACCAUAGAACUGCAGUUGAAACUGUUAUGCUUGAGUGUGGGGGACGUAUGUGGAAUUCGUGGUGUAGGGGUAAAAUGCGUAGAGAUCAAGAAGAAUACUCAUUGCGAAGGCGGCCUGCUGGAGCAUUACUGACGCUGAUGCGCGAAAGCGUGGGGAGCGAACAGGAUUAGAUACCCUUGUAGUC